AACACUGUUAACCUGCGGUACCUGCGGAAGGAUCAUUACAGUAUUCUUUUGCCAGCGCUUAACUGCGCGGCGAAAAACCUUACACACAGUGUCUUUUUGAUACAGAACUCUUGCUUUGGUUUGGCCUAGAGAUAGGUUGGGCCAGAGGUUUAACAAAACACAAUUUAAUUAUUUUUACAGUUAGUCAAAUUUUGAAUUAAUCUUCAAAACUUUCAACAACGGAUCUCAGAUCGGAAGAGC
rnacentral:misc_RNA from 1 species